AAAUAAUUCAUUAUCUGACUUUCCUGCCCGCAAUGUCAAGGACGUUGUCGCAUUGUCGUUGCCAUCCACGAGGCUGAAGCUAAUUUCAUUGAGGAGGAAAACGAGGGGAUCCUGCGAAGGCUGGCGCCCAGCGGUGGGAAUUUCAUCAGCUGUUGUCGUUGUUUAUUUCGCAGCAGCAGCCCAAUAAAAAUGCAAUUUUUAUGGUUAAGAAAAUAGAGCGCGGCCGCCGUUGUGUUGCACAUUGGAAAUUGUGCAGAAGCCAGAAGAAAAUGUGUCUUGGAAAAUGGAAAAGCACGAGCAGCAGCAGCAGCAAUAACAUUGAGCCAGUGAUGUAAUACAGAGCAAAAGUGAAGCGGCAAUUGGCAUUGCAAAAAAGAAACAGAUUAUACAAUUUGUGUUGCUGCCGCACUGAACUAGGACAACAGCAGCAACAAC